ACUCCUACGGGAGGCAGCAGUAAGGAAUAUUGGUCAAUGGACGCAAGUCUGAACCAGCCAUGCCGCGUGAAGGAUGAAGGCCCUCUGGGUUGUAAACUUCUUUUAUCUGGGACGAAAAACAGGAAUUCUUUCCUGCUCGACGGUACCAGAGGAAUAAGCACCGGCUAACUCCGUGCCAGCAGCCGCGGUAAUACGGAGGGUGCAAGCGUUAUCCGGAUUUACUGGGUUUAAAGGGUGCGUAGGUGGGCAGGUAAGUCAGUGGUGAAAUCUCCGGGCUUAACUCGGAAACUGCCAUUGAUACUAUCUGUCUUGAAUAUCCUGGAGGUGAGCGGAAUAUGUCAUGUAGCGGUGAAAUGCUUAGAUAUGACAUAGAACACCCAUUGCGAAGGCAGCUCACUACGGGAUUAUUGACACUGAGGCACGAAAGCGUGGGGAUCAAACAGGAUUAGAUACCCUGGUAGUCCACGCCCUAAACGAUGGAUACUCGACAUCAGCGAUACACUGUUGGUGUCUGAGCGAAAGCAUUAAGUAUCCCACCUGGGAAGUACGACCGCAAGGUUGAAACUCAAAGGAAUUGACGG
rnacentral:rRNA from 1 species